rnacentral:lncRNA from 1 species
AAAGAUAAAAGUGUCCGGAAAUGAAUCAAACCCUAAAGAUAUGUAUCUCCCUCCUCGUACCUUAUCGCUUCUCGUCGGCUCCGCCGCCCGCUGCUGAUGUCGGCGAUGCUCCGAUGGACUCCAAAAUUACAUCAUUGAAUCCCCGUCCCCUCCUCUUUCCAAAUUCCCAAAUCCCAUCCCUCAAAUCCUAGCCGCUCUUCUCAAAUCUUAGAUCGAAAUGCCGACUCAAAACCUUACUUGCUCCAAAAUCCACCAAAUUUUCACCACAUAACCUCCUCAUCUUUCUCUUCACAAAUCCGUGGCUAGUUUCUUUUAAAUUUUACCUGGCCGUCUCAAAUUUCAAUUCUAGGGCUGCUAAAGUCAAGUUUGUUUUGGGAGAUUUUUCGCAAGUUCGAAUGUUUUCUACAGUAAGUGUUCCUUAGUUUUUUAUUUCUAUUAGUGUAGUUUAGCUUUUCAUUUUUUUCUUUUCGCUUCAAUCUGGUUGGUUACUAGAAGCUUGGCUCAUAGUUUGGUCCUGAUUUUUUUUCUUGAGUUUUAGUUUAACACGGUGUUAAUCUUGUUAUAGUAGUUUAUUUUUGUUAUAACUUCAUAGUUCAUCAAUCCUUGUUAGCGUUUAAUUGUUAGUAUAUGUGACCAUAUUUUUGUUACUCCGAUAUUUGGCAAAGAUGUUGGUUUAAUUUCAUGCCUGAUCGAUUAUGUCUUAGUUUAAUUUUGUGUUGAUUCAUUCUGAUUAGUUGAUUUUCGGAUAAUAGUUUAAUUGGGUUCCACAUCUUUAGGAUACAUGAUACGAAUAACUGAUUGUUUCUGAUUGUUUGAUUCUAGAUUUAUGUUGACUAUAAUUAGUUGUCUAUCAACCAAGGGUAAGGGUUUGGUUUAGUUAACGGAGGUAGGGAGGAAAUAAGGGUAGUUUAGGCAUGGAAAAGGGUAGUUUUGUUAAGAAUAAUGAUUCCAAAACGAAAGCGAUGGUAGUAUAGGUAUUGUAUAGGUAGAAGAACACCCUAGGACCUUUUAGAAUUGAACUUUAGUGUACUUUCAACACAAUAGAGGUAGUUACUUGCAUAGCAAGUUAAUAAAUGAGUGAGUAAAGUAAAAAAAGAAGAGGGACUGAAAAGAAAACCAAAAAUUUGAUUGUUCACCCUUAUGGUGCCUUUAAAUUGGCAUUCUCAUGCCUUAGGGAGGGGUCUUCUUUUCAGCCAACAAAAAUUCCCCAAAUACUCUCUAGUUACAGAUUCAAAAGGAGAUCUGAAAUCUGAAAUUUCCUUUAGAAGUUUAAGCUUUUCUACAGAAAAGCCAAAAGAAAAACAACAAAACCUCUGAACCAAAAGAAAAACAUGGUUCCAUUGCUUUUUCUCUUAGAUUAUUUUCCAAUUCUAGCUUAGUUAAAUUCUUUAAUCCUUUUAAAAAACCAAAAAUAUCUCGCAAUAUGUUGUUUCUGUUCAAGAUUUGAACGAAUCAUUUGAGCAGUAGUAUUGGGUUAUUCGAGUGGGCUUUGGGAUGUUUGAGUUGGCUGUGGUUUACUGGAUAUUUUAUGAGUAUUUUGGUACUAUUUUUGGUUUAUUCUGUGAUCCUAUUUGGUUUUGAAACAAUCCUAAGACUUAGAGCUUGUUUCUGAAUUGUUGAUGUUUGGUUGUUGCAUCAGUUGACCUCUUCUCUUUUGUUAUUUCACUUUCUAGGUACACACUCGAAAUUCUGUUGUAACCCCAUGCUUGAAAUGGAAUAAAAUUACCCAGCUAUUUUGAUCCUGAGAUUUUCCUGCUAGUUGUUACAUAUUCAUAGUUAAAUAGAUAUUAUAUGUGUUGUUUAAUAUAGUUAAGUGUCAAUUGGUUGUGUAUAAACUGUGGACUGUAUGGACUGUCACUAUUACUCUUGAUUGAAUUUCAUUAGUAAGAGCAGACGUAAUUAUUUUUUAUCCAAACUACAAAGUGAUCUUAUUUCAGGAAUGCUUCAAUUAAAAGUGUUAGUUUCAUGAUAGGUUAAUGGCAUCGUCUUAUAAAGGAUUUGUUAAAUCGUUUCUGAUUUGUGUAAGUAAUAGGACAUAACGUUAACAGCAUACUCACAACUUAGGUUCAAUUGUCAUGCCAAUUUAAAGUAUAUGAGUUUUUCACCUUAGUUCCAGAUUUUCUUUUUACCUUAGUGAUAUCUAGUAACUUUUCAAAUAGAAAAUAAUAUGAGUAAAAUUUGAAAAUCAAGGUGAUCAUUGUUGAGUCAAUCUGAAUAGGCGUAUGUUGUUUCCCUGCAUUACAAACGUGUUGAAUGAUUUUUGAUAACUGUGGUGGAAUUCUAGGUCUGCACGGAACUGAGGCUUCACUUGAUUCAGCCAGCAGCCUGACUGCAGGCAGUUGGGCCUAAAUGCAUCAAUAAGCAGCCCAGGCCAUGCUGAUUUCUUCACAUGACCUAUGUCCAAGAAAUUUGAACGCAUGUAUUCAUGGAAU